UGGCGGCGUGCUUAACACAUGCAAGUCGAGCGGUAAGGCCUUUCGGGGUACACGAGCGGCGAACGGGUGAGUAACACGUGGGUGAUCUGCCCUGCACUCUGGGAUAAGCUUGGGAAACUGGGUCUAAUACCGGAUAUGACCACAGCGCGCAUGUGUUGUGGUGGAAAGAUUUAUCGGUGCAGGAUGGGCCCGCGGCCUAUCAGCUUGUUGGUGGGGUAAUGGCCUACCAAGGCGACGACGGGUAGCCGACCUGAGAGGGUGACCGGCCACACUGGGACUGAGACACGGCCCAGACUCCUACGGGAGGCAGCAGUGGGGAAUAUUGCACAAUGGGCGGAAGCCUGAUGCAGCGACGCCGCGUGAGGGAUGAAGGCCUUCGGGUUGUAAACCUCUUUCAGCAGGGACGAAGCGUGAGUGACGGUACCUGCAGAAGAAGCACCGGCUAACUACGUGCCAGCAGCCGCGGUAAUACGUAGGGUGCGAGCGUUGUCCGGAAUUACUGGGCGUAAAGAGUUCGUAGGCGGUUUGUCGCGUCGUUUGUGAAAACCCGGGGCUCAACUUCGGGCUUGCAGGCGAUACGGGCAGACUUGAGUGUUUCAGGGGAGACUGGAAUUCCUGGUGUAGCGGUGAAAUGCGCAGAUAUCAGGAGGAACACCGGUGGCGAAGGCGGGUCUCUGGGAAACAACUGACGCUGAGGAACGAAAGCGUGGGUAGCAAACAGGAUUAGAUACCCUGGUAGUCCACGCCGUAAACGGUGGGCGCUAGGUGUGGGUUCCUUCCACGGGAUCUGUGCCGUAGCUAACGCA
rnacentral:rRNA from 1 species